CGGCGGACGGGUGAGUAACGCGUGGGCAACCUGCCUCAUACAGGGGGAUAACAGUUAGAAAUGACUGCUAAUACCGCAUAAGCGCACAAGGCCGCAUGGCCCGGUGCGAAAAACUCCGGUGGUAUGGGAUGGGCCCGCGUCUGAUUAGCUGGUUGGCGGGGUAACGGCCCACCAAGGCGACGAUCAGUAGCCGACCUGAGAGGGUGGCCGGCCACAUUGGGACUGAGACACGGCCCAGACUCCUACGGGAGGCAGCAG
rnacentral:rRNA from 1 species